CAUAUCAUACAUACAUUACGAAACUAUGAAAAACCACCAUCCAAACAAAGUAUUAGUGAUAUCCAAUUCAAGGUUCCCCUUCAUCAGUAUUCAUUGCUAAAGCCUUCUAAUCACCUCUUCCAUCAGCUUCCACAUCUCUUACCAUGUCGGAUCAUCAAAACCCUAAACCCACCGACAACCUACCUCCACCGCCGUCAACAAAUCCACCCAAAAUCUCCACCGCCACCUCCUCCGGCCCCGGCGCUCCCCACUUUCCAAAUCCACCAGACCGUACAAAUCCAGACGUUGCAACACUAAGAGAGCAAUGGAGGUUCGCUAUAAAGCAGUACAGCAAAUGGUAUUCCCAUGCUUGGGGAACUGCAAUUUUAGCUGGGCUUUCUUUUUACGCACUUGGUUGGAUUAUCAAAGGCGGAAAUCCUUUGCCCUCUUUUAAACACGAAGAAGAAUCCGAUAGUAAAAUUGCAUCUUCUAAUGGUGUUCCCGAGGUUAAGAGAAGUUGAUGAUGAUGAAGAAAUAAAUUUUCCGGUGGUCUCCAUUUUCUAAACUCGCAUGACCAUCGAAUCCAGAUGCUGCAACACCAGGAGAGCAAUGGAGGUUCGCGAUAAAGCAAUAUAACAAAUGGUAUUCCCACGCUUGGGGAACUGCUAUAUUAGCUUUUUGCGGAGCUGCACUCUUUACCCUAUCAAAUAAGAUAGCCAUGAAUAGCUGAAGUUUCUCCCUCUCCUCCUAACCCCCAGCUGCCAGGCUUCUUAAACUUCUGUUCUGCAAGCUCUAUGUGGAUGGAAGUGGAAGCACUCCUAACACGUAAUUCCUUGGCAACUUCAGUUGUAUCUACUUCUGGCAUAAAACCAACAUUGUAAUAGGAUGUGUACGAGACCAAUGUCUAUUGGUCCCUGCUGAGAGUCCAGGCAAGUCUCAAGUAUUCCUUUUUCCUUCCACCUUUGUGUCAUGCAGUUAGUUCAACAACACAACAAGAAGAACCAUUGUAUCCCUAGUUGUUUCGUUGAGAAGAGUUUUGAUGCAUAUUUCCUGUAAAGUAAACGCGGAUAUCAAUAAUGCUGUAGUUUUGAGUUGUUGUCAGUUGACAUUCUGUACCAUUGAUAAUACUACUAUACGAUAUCCACAACUGAAAUGUUGUUAAUGCCAAUUUAUACUUUACGAAAAGAUAAAAUAAAUGGUUCUUAAGCAAAA